CCAGAAACCCUUUUUUUCUAGGGUAGGAAUAUGGCAAGCAGGAUGAGGACCUAAACAUGGGACUCAAGUAAAAGAGGAUUAUCUUAAACACUGGGACACUAGGAACCAGGAACUGGGAGCAAUGGAAACCAGACGCAAGAAGAUACUCACACAGCACAAGGGGUGUUGCAGAGUCUAAGAGAAAGACUAUGUAAGAUGGAAAAAGCCACUGAUGUCACUAUAGAUCUCACGAUUAGUCCCAGCUUUUUCCCUCCUGUUUUCCAUUCCCUUGUUACUCUCUGGUGUAUUUGAGCCCUGUGUUUUCUUCUGUUGUCGGAUCGUUACCCCACGUGCUGUGUGAGUAUCUUCUUGCGUCUGGUUUCCAUUGCUCCCAGUUCCUGGCUCCUAGUGUCCCAGUGUUUAAUUUCUUAGUUUCUAGCUUAGGUUAUUUCUUUGAGUUUUUGAGUAUCUGCAAAGCGCAAUAAAGCUGCCACUUUAAGUUCAUCCUUCUG